UUAAAUUGAAGAGUUUGAUCAUGGCUCAGAUUGAACGCUGGCGGCAGGCCUAACACAUGCAAGUCGAACGGUAACAGGAAGCAGCUUGCUGCUUCGCUGACGAGUGGCGGACGGGUGAGUAAUGUCUGGGAAACUGCCUGAUGGAGGGGGAUAACUACUGGAAACGGUAGCUAAUACCGCAUAACGUCGCAAGACCAAAGAGGGGGACCUUCGGGCCUCUUGCCAUCGGAUGUGCCCAGAUGGGAUUAGCUUGUUGGUGGGGUAACGGCUCACCAAGGCGACGAUCCCUAGCUGGUCUGAGAGGAUGACCAGCCACACUGGAACUGAGACACGGUCCAGACUCCUACGGGAGGCAGCAGUGGGGAAUAUUGCACAAUGGGCGCAAGCCUGAUGCAGCCAUGCCGCGUGUAUGAAGAAGGCCUUCGGGUUGUAAAGUACUUUCAGCGGGGAGGAAGGGAGUAAAGUUAAUACCUUUGCUCAUUGACGUUACCCGCAGAAGAAGCACCGGCUAACUCCGUGCCAGCAGCCGCGGUAAUACGGAGGGUGCAAGCGUUAAUCGGAAUUACUGGGCGUAAAGCGCACGCAGGCGGUUUGUUAAGUCAGAUGUGAAAUCCCCGGGCUCAACCUGGGAACUGCAUCUGAUACUGGCAAGCUUGAGUCUCGUAGAGGGGGGUAGAAUUCCAGGUGUAGCGGUGAAAUGCGUAGAGAUCUGGAGGAAUACCGGUGGCGAAGGCGGCCCCCUGGACGAAGACUGACGCUCAGGUGCGAAAGCGUGGGGAGCAAACAGGAUUAGAUACCCUGGUAGUCCACGCCGUAAACGAUGUCGACUUGGAGGUUGUGCCCUUGAGGCGUGGCUUCCGGAGCUAACGCGUUAAGUCGACCGCCUGGGGAGUACGGCCGCAAGGUUAAAACUCAAAUGAAUUGACGGGGGCCCGCACAAGCGGUGGAGCAUGUGGUUUAAUUCGAUGCAACGCGAAGAACCUUACCUGGUCUUGACAUCCACAGAACUUUCCAGAGAUGGAUUGGUGCCUUCGGGAACUGUGAGACAGGUGCUGCAUGGCUGUCGUCAGCUCGUGUUGUGAAAUGUUGGGUUAAGUCCCGCAACGAGCGCAACCCUUAUCCUUUGUUGCCAGCGGUCCGGCCGGGAACUCAAAGGAGACUGCCAGUGAUAAACUGGAGGAAGGUGGGGAUGACGUCAAGUCAUCAUGGCCCUUACGACCAGGGCUACACACGUGCUACAAUGGCGCAUACAAAGAGAAGCGACCUCGCGAGAGCAAGCGGACCUCAUAAAGUGCGUCGUAGUCCGGAUUGGAGUCUGCAACUCGACUCCAUGAAGUCGGAAUCGCUAGUAAUCGUGGAUCAGAAUGCCACGGUGAAUACGUUCCCGGGCCUUGUACACACCGCCCGUCACACCAUGGGAGUGGGUUGCAAAAGAAGUAGGUAGCUUAACCUUCGGGAGGGCGCUUACCACUUUGUGAUUCAUGACUGGGGUGAAGUCGUAACAAGGUAACCGUAGGGGAACCUGCGGUUGGAUCACCUCCUUACCUUAAAGAAGC
rnacentral:rRNA from 2 species